UGUAUAGGGAGACUGGGGAAACUUGAUCCCCAGGGAGACUUGAUCCCUUGUCAAUAAAUCGAUAAGCACACGGUAUUUUUAUUUUAAAUACUGAUAAUACUGAUGCCUUCACUCAUUGUGUAUGGUUGAACGUAAAUUAGACGGUUCACAAUCGACAACUUCAGAACAGUGGUGCCAUUUUGUUUUCGCCAGGUGAAAAUAUUUUUCUAUGGAAGGAAAAUGCCGAGAACGUACAAACCUAAAGAGGGCGCUAAGAAACGCAUACCCAUAGACAAAACAAAACUUGAAUUAGCGGUUAAAGAGAUUUUGAAAGGAAACGCUAUCAAAGGAACUGCAAAACUUUAUGAUGUGCCUUUGAUGACACUAAAAAGAUACGCCAGAAAACAACAACGACAGCCAGAUGUUAAAAUAUCCUAUAAACCUGACUAUAGACAAUCCAAAGUUUUAACUGAAGAAGAAGAGACCGAGUUGGCUAAAUACUGUUAAAAGGCAAGUAAACUUCACCAUGGCUUGAACUCAAGUAGCGUGCGGAGGUUGGCGUACCAAUUUGCUGUAGAAAAUAAUAAACCAGCUGACAAAAUAAGUAAAUGGAGUAACAAUAUGGCUAAACAAAAGUAAGAGAAAGAGUUUUAAUAAGGACCCACUUAGUAAGGAAUGUUAUUACUAAGACUCAAAUUAUCUUUUAAGUUACCAAAUAUAGGCCUAAAAUAAUACAAACAUUAUAAGUGUUGAUUUUUGUAUGUUUAUAUGGUUAAAUAAACAAUUUUUAUAUUGUAAAA